rnacentral:rRNA from 1 species
GACGAACGCUGGCGGCGUGCUUAACACAUGCAAGUCGAACGGAAAGGCCCUGCUUUUGUGGGGUGCUCGAGUGGCGAACGGGUGAGUAACACGUGAGUAACCUGCCCUUGACUUUGGGAUAACUUCAGGAAACUGGGGCUAAUACCGGAUAGGAGCUCCUGCUGCAUGGUGGGGGUUGGAAAGUUUCGGCGGUUGGGGAUGGACUCGCGGCUUAUCAGCUUGUUGGUGGGGUAGUGGCUUACCAAGGCUUUGACGGGUAGCCGGCCUGAGAGGGGGACCGGCCACAUUGGGACUGAGAUACGGCCCAGACUCCUACGGGAGGCAGCAGUGGGGAAUAUUGCACAAUGGGCGGAAGCCUGAUGCAGCAACGCCGCGUGCGGGAUGACGGCCUUCGGGUUGUAAACCGCUUUCGACUGUGACGAAGCGUGAGUGACGGUAAUUGGUAAAGAAGCACCGGCUAACUACGUG